CGUCGAUCUUUAGCUGGUCUGAGAGGACGAUCAGCCACAUUGGGACUGAGACACGGCCCAGACUCCUACGGGAGGCAGCAGUGGGGAAUAUUGGACAAUGGGCGCAAGCCUGAUCCAGCCAUACCGCGUGUGUGAAGAAGGCUUUCGGGUUGUAAAGCACUUUAAGUAAGGAGGAAAAGAUUGUAGUUAAUACCUGCAAUCCGUGACGUUACUUACAGAAUAAGGACCGGCUAAUUCCGUGCCAGCAGCCGCGGUAAUACGGAAGGUCCAAGCGUUAAUCGGAAUUACUGGGCGUAAAGCGCGCGUAGGUGGUUUUUUAAGUUGGAUGUGAAAGCCCUGGGCUCAACCUAGGAACUGCAUCCAAAACUAGAUGACUAGAGUACGAAAGAGGGAAGUAGAAUUCACAGUGUAGCGGUGGAAUGCGUAGAUAUUGUGAAGAAUACCAAUGGCGAAGGCAGCUUCCUGGUUCUGUACUGACACUGAGGUGCGAAAGCGUGGGUAGCGAACAGGAUUAGAUACCCUGGUAGUCCACGCCGUAAACGAUGACAACUAGCUGUUGGGAGACAAGAUCUCUCAGUGGCGCAGCUAACGCUUUAAGUUGUCCGCCUGGGGAGUACGGCCGCAAGGUUAAAACUCAAAUGAAUUGACGGGACCCGCACAAGCGGUGGAGCAUGUGGUUUAAUUCGAUGCAACGCGAAAAACCUUACCUACUCUUGACAUACUUGGAAGCUCUUGUAAUGAGAGUGUGCUUUUAGAGCCAAGAUACAGGUGCUGCAUGGCUGUCGUCAGCUCGUGUCGUGAGAUGUUGGGUUAAGUCCCAUAACGAGCGCAACCCUUACCCUUAUUUGCCAGCGGUUCGGCCGGGAACUAUAAGGGGACUGCCGGUGACAAACCGGAGGAAGGUGAGGACGACGUCAAGUCAUCAUGGCCCUUACGAGUAGGGCUACACACGUGCUACAAUGGGGAAUACAGACGGACGCUAAAGCGUGAGCUGGUGCCAAUCCUAAAAAAUUUCUCGUAGUCCGGAUUGCAGUCUGCAACUCGACUGCAUGAAGUCGGAAUCGCUAGUAAUCGCGAAUCAGCAUGUCGCGGUGAAUACGUUCUCGGGUCUUGUACACACCGCCCGUCACACCAUGGAAGUGUGUUGCACCAGAAGUAGGUAGUCUAACCUUCGGGAAGGCGCUUACCACGGUGUGAUCCAUGACUGGGGUGAAGUCAUAACAAGGUAGCCGUA
rnacentral:rRNA from 1 species